UGCGUCUUAGUGUUUCCUAGAAGGAAGAACCGAAAGGGACACUCCAGAGGGAGGAGUUAGGGCUCUAGUCAGAGCUGACCUCGAUCUGGAAAAUGCUCUCUAUGCUCACCAGUCUCUCCGUUCCCAAUCAAUAUUUAGAAUCGUGAGUAGAGCCACUAAAAAGGGAAGUGAUAUGUGUUGUGAAUGAGGCCACUGGCAAGAAAGGGCCUGAUGCAAUCGCGACACAGGGGGCACAGAACACGGGGAAGUGCUCCAUUCACCCUAUGAAGGCAAGGCCACACUCCGAAUCUCUCUUUCCUCCAUUGCCAGUCUGAGUGGUGUGAGGAACAGUGCAGAAACCGCCUUCUCCGGCUUCACAGGAGAGCAAGGAAGAGCGAAUCUGUGCCUAAGGCUGGGAGGGAGACUUUGCCUUCCUGGGGCUUAUCACCUAGCAUGGCGCCUCCUGGCUCUACGAAGACUGAAGGGAGUUUGCAAAGCGGAGCAGAGGCCUCUUCUCACCUGCUGCUUUCUGUAGAAGCCUCUGAGGUCACAAUUGGGCAUGUAGAGUCCGGGCGCCCCCCCUCGGAAGAUCUCAGUCUGGAGGCCCUGCAGGACUGAAUCCAAGUGCCUUCGGCAAGGACCCUGGAGAGGAACAGGGGUGGGUGGGGGCGGUGCUCAGAAUUCCAGGAGCCUGCCUGGUCCGUGGAGCUGUCUCCAGUGAAAGUCUCCAGCCUUCAGCCUCCCUACCAACCCUGCACUCACCAUCUCAGUGUCAUGAACACUCCCUGGAUUGGGCCUUAUAGGAGUGGUGGAGGUUCCUGGAUUCUUCUGCCGGUCUCUGUGGCUUGUGUCACGUUGGCGGGAGGCACCUCCAUGGGGUUUACUUUCCUUUGUUGUCUCUUCUGUGGCCAUAAGAAUGGGAGAAGAAAUCAGAAAUCUGUCAAGGCCAAAAACUAGCUCCACAUGAGCCUUGGUCCAUCUCUACUGUUUAAAGUACGAGCAACUGAUGGCUUUAUGAACUAAAAGUAGCCAGUUUUUCUCCUA